rnacentral:lncRNA from 1 species
GGAUAUAAGAGAACUGGAACAAUACGGGUUCAGAAUGAGCAAUUGGAACAAUACGGGUUCAGAAUGAGCAAUUGGGCUGAGACCUGAGUUUGCACUGUAGCAAGCUCCCAGGCAACACAGGCCCUUCUAGUCCAUGGAUCCUCCUUUGAGGAGCAAGGAGAUUGAAUGCAUAAGUGAAGAAAUGUUCUUGUCAGCCACAAUGCUCUGGAUCCUGAGAUGGGAAGGAAAAGUUGAAGAACAGAGAGGCCUGUACCCAGCGGGACCUCCUCAGCUUCACGCUGCUGAGGGGAAACAUCUUUAAAAGAGAGUUGGUCUGAUGAUUAAGGACAUUCUGCAUGCCAUAGGGUCAGCUAAAUGAAAAUAAAGUUCCCGGUAGCCCAUUACCCUGACAGAGAUUUGAAGUUGGAACAAACUUCACUAGAAGGAUGACAGUUGGUGCCCCAGGUGCGUUUGUCUCGCUCCUCACCUGAGCUCAUCUCCAUAAAUGCCCCUAUCUUUCUCUGCACCCAAGAUUCACUCAGAAAGGCUACACUGUGCAAUGUUGCUUCCCUGGAGCUUGCUGCAGAGAAUUUACCAUUUGAGGAAUGUGUUCAAGGUGCCGUGACAGAUUUGCAGAAAUCCUCCCGGUCCCUCCCUUCCUCUGCCUCCUAAGAUUGUUUUCUCCUCCCUCCCAAGUGGGAUUGAAGAAGCAUCCUCAUGUGGGCUCGAAGGCUUGAUACUAUUACAGAUGCUAUGGUGUGCUUCCAGCCUAGCAUGGCUGUCCUCCAAAAAGUCCCAACAAGCAACUGACUGAGACAGACACAGAAACUAACACCCAAACAUUGGACUGAAGUCUAAGACCCCUGUGGUUGAAUUUGGGAAAGACUGGAAGGAGAUGAGGAGGAGGAUGGCUCCAUAGGAAGACCAGCAAUUUCAACUAACCCUGACCCCCUACUAUCUCUCAGACAUUUAACCACCAACCAAGCAACAUGCAUGAGCUGAUCUGAGGCCCCAUGGUACAUAUACAGCAGAGGACCACCUGGUCUGGCCUCAGUGAAGAAGGUGCAUCUAACCCUCUUGAGACUUGAGGCCCCAAGGAGUGGGGAGGCCUGGCAGUGGU